UCAGCGUCAAUUCUAAAGAUAUGGCCCAAUUCUCACAAUAAUUUUACUCGUAGACAUAUUCCAUACAAAAACAGAGAAAGCAAGUGAUUCCUGCAUAUAGAAAUUUAAAUUAGAAAGUAAUUUGGGGAUAAGAAGAUGCAGGGAAGAGAUAAAACUAGCAUACAUCUUCUUCCAGAUAAUUGUCUUGAGAAAUGCUUAGAAAUCAAAUAUGCAUGAAUCAACAGAGUUUAGUGCAUGCAUCAACAGCCAUCAAUAUUCUUUAAAAAUUAGCAAAUAACAUACCAAGACAAUUUUAGUACUAUGAAAUUCUGAACAAAAUUCUGACUCAAAGCCAUAGAAAGAUAAAUUCUCAACUAAAUUUGUCCUAAAGGAUCACCUAAAAUCUGUACCAACAAAUUAUACUUAUUAUGUAUGCAGGUCCACUCGUCAUGAACUAAGUUUGUAAUUAAAA
rnacentral:lncRNA from 1 species